CUCUAUUCCCCUUCGUUUGAAUUCCCUCUCUCCCCCAUUUUCACCCGAGCCCUAGUUCAAGAACACAAGGACACCGACGGCGUCUUCACUGAUUCACCAACCUCCGGUGGUGAAACAUUCAACUGAUGACAAGCAAAAACCUCCGGUCACCUGCGGGGUCUUCAUUGUUUCACCAACCUUCGACAGUUUGCAUUCAACCGGCGAUAAGAAAAUAACCUCCGGUUAAACUUAUGCACGGAGCCACUCAAGAGAUUGGAUGGAGACAUGAAGGACCGAAUUGUUUAUAUGUUGAUUCUUAGUUUAAAUGUAUUGAGGGAAAUUGAAACUUGUAACUAUUUCAAUUUUUUAAAAGUAUGUUUGGAACUUAUAAGAGAUCAUGGACAAAAGAUGAUAUUACUUGUAGAUGUCAUUUUUACUAAAA